CUGCAGCUCAAGUGGUGACCACUAUUAUUGGGCCUAAAACGUUCGUAGCCGGUUUAGUAAAUGCCUGGGUAAAUCGAGCCGCUUAACGGUUCGACUUCCGGGUAGACUGCUAAACUUGAGACCGGGAGAGGCUAGAGGUACUCCUGGGGUAGAGGUGAAAUUCUGUAAUCCUGGGGGGACCACCAGUGGCGAAGGCGUCUAGCUAGAACGGGUCUGACGGUGAGGGACGAAGCCCUGGGGCGCAAACCGGAUUAGAUACCCGAGUAGUCC
rnacentral:rRNA from 1 species